ACAGAGGCCCAGAAGCUGAGCAUCUCACCCCAUGACAUUGAGUGGUGGAGCCAGCAUGUGGGCCCAGAUGUAACUGAACACAGUCCCCUAUGCUAUGCUGCAAGAAAAGAGUCAGGUCAACUGGUGUCCAGCCUCAGCCCCACAGGUGGCAGGAGUAUGAAGAGGGGUUACCAGGAGUGGGAUUCCAGGGCCCCGUCUCAUUUUUAAUCACAGUGAUCAGGAUGUGGCCAUUCUCAACCUGUUGAAGAGUGCAAAAAAGUACCUACAGAAGCAGAAAAAUGCGCAAGAAGACCACAUUUUUCUCUCCACUUCCAUUCAACAGACCAGGAGGCUGCGGAAGUAGGUGACUGGAGAUGCUAGUGGAACCCAGACCUGGGGCCCAACCUGCCCCUGUACUUCCCUCCUCUACCCUUGAAUUCGUCAGCGUGGAGCAGUUGUGACAUACCUCAAAGCUUUCUUUUUGGGGGGGCCCCCACCCAAAGUCUCUCAGGAGAGAUCUAACAUCAAAGUUGCCCUCUGGGAGCCUGGUGGCAGGAGCCUGUUUGCUGACUUCAGACUCUGUGGCACAUAUUGUGAGCAUGGCCACUGCAUCCGGCUUGGAGGCUUCCUACACCAGAUAUCCUAUCCGAGCUUCAUUUGGGUGGCCCUGGGAGGAGGCGUUAUCUUUAUUGGCAAACCAAGGCCAGCUCCUUCUGCUGGCCAAUGCAGCAAGACCAAAUCCAGCCCUCACAUGGCUCAGAGGCUGACUCCUGAUCUGGGCCAGAGGCUGCCAUCAGCUCUUGAAAUUUCUUCUGGUCAAUGCAGUGCAGAGGAGGGGAAAGCAUUAGGUUGGCGCCCCUCGGAUCUGGGCUUGAUCCCCAACUCUGCACUUAACAGCCAGGUGACCUUGAGCAAGAGGCUCAGCUGAGAUAGUUUCUUCAUGUGUAAAGUGGGGUUAGGUGGGCAGGCAGUGCCCAAACAGCAGGAGAGCCAGGAGUUGCUGGGAGAGUGAGGCUGCCUCUCUUCCACUCUGUGGCAUCCUGUCCUGGCAGGCUGCUCCCUGCAAGGCAGACACCUUCUCCCGCACAGACUCACCUUGACCUGCGACUCGGUCAUCCCCAGUGGGGAAACUGAGGCACCAAAAGGGGAAGAGACCUCCCAAGAGACCAUCGUCUGCAGUUCUCUCUUCUUUUGUGUUAAUUCAACCACUGACUCAGAUAU